GACGAACGCUGGCGGCGCGCCUAACACAUGCAAGUCGAACGGAGCUGAGAGAAGCUUGCUUUUCUUAGCUUAGUGGCGAACGGGUGAGUAACGCGUGAGUAACCUGCCCUGGAGUGGGGGACAACAGUUGGAAACGACUGCUAAUACCGCAUAAGCCCACGAUCCGGGAUCGGAUUGAGGGAAAAGGAUUUAUUCGCUUCAGGAUGGACUCGCGUCCAAUUAGCUAGUUGGUGAGGUAACGGCCCACCAAGGCGACGAUGGGUAGCCGGACUGAGAGGUUGCACGGCAACAUUGGGACGGGGACACGGCCCAGACUCCUCCGGGAGGCAGCAGUGGGGGUUAUUGCACAAUGGGGGAAACCCGGAUGCGGCGUCGCCGCGGGGAGGAGGAAGGUUUUCGGAUGGUAAGCUCCUGUCGUUAGGGACGUUAAGGCCGGUACCUAACAAGAAGGCACCGGCUACCUCCUU
rnacentral:rRNA from 1 species